rnacentral:tRNA from 1 species
AAAAUCCGUCGACUUUUAAAAUCAUGAGGGUUCAAGUCCCUCUAUCCCC